AGAUGGUCUGGGCAAAUUUCACGAACCCAAGCUUGCAUCUUUUGGAGCAGCCGCUCAUGGUGGCGGAGGGAAGGUGGGCUCUGCGGUCAGCGCCCAGAAGGGAAAGCACCCACCUUGCGUGGCCCUGGAACUAGGAGCCCCCCUAGGCAACCCCUGCGAGCGGAUGUACCCCACAAGCUCCGGGAACAGCACAGCUGCCUCUGCAGUGAGUCCGGCUUCAGCAUCCAGAAAGCCUGCGGGGCACGAUGUCUGCUCCCUUCCUCCUUGCCUGCCUCCUCCACCCCCUCCUGCUAUCCACUCAAGUCCUCACCGUGGGAGGACCUCGGCACGCCGGGCUGGGACGGGGACGCAGUGCCAGGGCGCAGGGCGCUCCGGCUCCGAGGGAGCCAAGGGGGAGCGAGGCUGAGCGAGCGGGAGGAGGAGCCGGCGCUCUCGCAGGCUUGGCCGACGUCUUUCUUACAUGGCAGGGGUAAUGUAGCAAUUAAUGGUCAGAAGGGAGGGACGGCGCCGCGCAGCACUGCGCUCCGCGGCCCCUGCUCGCCCGCCCGCGCUGUCCUGCUGCUUAGUCUAGUGGAGCAGGUCCCCCUGCCCGACCCGGCUGCGGACAGCGCCCACGGAGCCGAGGCCGCCCGCCGCCGCCCGAGCUCGGGGAAAGUUCGCAGGCAGCGGCGCGAGCGGCCCGGUUGGCCUCGCGGAGCCGGGCUGAGCGGGAGCCCCGGGGAGCCGGCCCCGGCCCCGGCUCCAGAGCAGGGGCUGCCCGCCUCCGCCACCGGGAAGGCCAACGCCUCCGCCCGCCUCCGGCCGCCUCGGGCCGCGCAGAGCCCGUGCGGCUCUCCCCAGGGCAGGAGCGCGCCGCGCCGUCCACCCGCUCCAGCCCCAGCCCGCUGCGCGCCCCGCGGUGCCGAGGGCUCCUCGCAACGGCCGGCGCAGAAUUCCAUCCGAUUACGGCGCAGCACUCUCAGAAGUAAAACUGCAAGGCCCUCUGCUAACAGGAAGCUUCCUAACGACCCCGACUGCCCCGCCGUACCACGGCCUGUGCUGUGCGCAUCCGCAAGGACCUCGGCGGACACCUCAUCCCAGCAUCCCAGCCCCUGCCCACCGCGUGAACCUCUCCCGUGA
rnacentral:lncRNA from 1 species